rnacentral:rRNA from 1 species
GACGAAGGUGGCGAGCGUUGUUCGGAAUCACUGGGCCUAAAGCGCACGUAGGCGGCGGCGUAAGUUGGAUGUGAAAUCCCCCGGCCCAACCGGGGAACUGCGUCCAGUACUGCGUUGCUUGAGGAUCCAAGGGGUGCAUGGAAUUCCCGGUGGAGCGGUGAAAUGCGUUGAUAUCGGGAGGAACUCCGGCGGCGAAGGCGGUCUGCUGGGGUCGAACUGACGCUGAGGCGCGACAGCGUGGGGAGCAAACAGG